rnacentral:rRNA from 1 species
CCAGCCGUAAAACAUUAACUUACACCAUAAAUCGCCUGAGAACUACGAGCACACGCUUAAAACUCAAAGGACUUGACGGUGUCCCAUCCAACUAGAGGAGCCUGUUCUAUAAUCGAUAAUCCCCGAUAAACCUCACCACUUCUAGCCUAUCAGUCUGUAUACCUCCGUCGAAAGCUUACCCUGUGAAUGAUCAUUAGUAAGCAAUAGGGUCUACCCACCAAAACGUCAGGUCAAGGUGCAGCUUACGAAGUGGGAAGAAAUGGGCUACAAUUUCUAAACUAGAACAAACGAAAAGAUCUGCAUGAAACACAGUCAUGAGGGCGGAUUUAGUAGUAAAAAGAAAAUAGAGUGUUCUUUUUANCCGAGCACUGGGACGUGUACACACCGCCCGUCAUCCUCUUCGAUAACAAUACAACAUGUCUAUAACACGCUAACGAACAUAAGAAGAGGCAAGUCGUAACAUGGUAAGUAUACUGGAAAGUGUACUUGGAAUAA